rnacentral:rRNA from 1 species
UAAAGCUGGCGACAGCACAGUCGAGUAGUACUAAUCAUCCGAAGCUUUCAAA